AACGAACGCUGGCGGCAUGCCUAACACAUGCAAGUCGAACGAGACCUUCGGGUCUAGUGGCGCACGGGUGCGUAACGCGUGGGAAGCUGCCCUUAGGUUCGGAAUAACUCCCCGAAAGGGGUGCUAAUACCGGAUAAUGUCUUCGGACCAAAGAUUUAUCGCCUUUGGAUGGGCCCGCGUUGGAUUAGCUGGUUGGUAGGGUAAAAGCCUACCAAGGCGACGAUCCAUAGCUGGUCUGAGAGGAUGAUCAGCCACACUGGGACUGAGACACGGCCCAGACUCGUACGGGAGGGAGCAGUGGGGAAUAUUGGACAAUGGGCGAAAGCCUGAUACAGCCAUGCCGCGUGAGUGAUGAAGGCCUUAGGGUUGUAAAGCUCUUUUACCCGGGACGAUAAUGACAGUACCGGGAGAAUAAGCACCGGCUAACUCCGUG
rnacentral:rRNA from 1 species